GCCAGGCAUGGUGGUGCAUGCCUGUAGUCCCAGCUAUUUGGGGGCCUGAGGUAGGAGAAUCACUUGAGCCCGGGAGGUCAAGGCUGCAGUGAGCCGUGAUUGCACCACUGUACUCCAGCCUGGGCGACAGAGUGACAUCCUGUCUCAA
rfam:Homo sapiens chromosome 11, GRCh38 reference primary assembly.